rnacentral:tRNA from 13 species
GCUCUAGUAGCUUAUA